GUUACGUAUAAAAAUGGUGCAAAUAGAAUGAAAUAUAUAAGAGAUGUUGCGUCCAGAAUACUGUGAAAAAUGAAGGGCUGGAUUAGUAAAUUUUGCACAUGAGAAAUACAGAGGUGUUUUGAUACCGUUCUGAAAUAGAUGAUCGUUAUGUUCUCACAAAAUACAAUAUUCAUACCAAAGUCCAGCUGAAUGCCCAUUAUACAGAAGUCCACUUCCAAGAGCAAAGCAAAAGUAAAGAAGUGCCAUGAAACUCACAUAUACAUAAAACGUCUUUUUUGCUGAAAAGAAUGAUUCAAUUUUU